rnacentral:lncRNA from 1 species
GGACAAUCUGCAUACCAAUCGACUCAUCUGUGCACACAGGCUGAGAACAAUGCAGGGAGAGAUGCGGAAAGGCCUGUGCUGCGAUGACAAUGCUUCCAGUGUGCUGACCUCGUCAGCGAAGCAAACAAAAGUACAGUCUCUUUGGAGGAGACAUUAAUGAGUCAUUAAGAACGGGUACAGCUGCGUGGUGCAAGCACUUCGUUAAAAAUAUUCUUCUCAUUUUGUGUCUGUCCCGUAAUUAUAAUGGAAGUAUUGUGCAAGUCAGCCAGUCAGCGCAUGCAGAAAAAUAUUUAUGUUUUACAAUAUCUGCACGGUUUUUAAAGUGCAUUGUCAAGUGUGGCUGCUGUACCGCGUUUUGCCUGUUGUCGCCUCUUACUGACAGCCUCAGCUUUAAAACGCCCUGCACCCGCGUUAUGACAGUCACCGCUCUGUCUCCGUACGUGCCUGGUGCACAUCCCGGCCACCAGGGAAGGCGCACUGUGGAGCUCUGCCGUCUGCCCUGCUGAAUUUGGGGAAAACAAGGCUGUACGCUCCUCCAUCGCGAGGCCAUGGCUCCUGCUCCCUCCUCUCCUCAUGGUCAGGCCAGCCCGUGGGGCCCACGGCCACAGUGCCCACCCAGGCAGGAGACCCCAGAGCAGAGUAAGGAAACCCAAUGUGCCUUUGAGAGAACCGUUUAGAAACUGCCCUCAACUGUCUUUAAAGCUGGAGAAGUCCCUGAAGGUCACCCAAGGUGCUCACUGUGGGGACGAGGAGAGUGGAUCUGGGGAGGGGAGAGGCCGGCUCGGGGCUGCAUCAGGGGCCCCCAUUUAAUCCACGUGCAUGGAGCAGUUCCUGAGGAUGCUGGGGGCAGGACCACCAUCAACAGGAGCGAGCGGCUGGAGGGACGGGAGGCAGCAUUGGGGACCACACGUCCCCCAUCUGUUACAGACCCACGGGCGCUUCCAGCCCCCAAAGGACGCUGUCCUUGGUAAGUGUCUCAAAACUAAGUUUCCUUAAGAAAAGAAGUUGGGAAUGUGAGCUUCUUUCAUGACAUCGUCAGGCUCCAGGGACUGCCUGCCUUCUCACCCAGACGGAGGCAGGACUGCCCCCAGUUAGCUCUGGGCUGGUACGGGCAGGAUGGAACGCACCACCGGGCUGGGCCAGCAUCUUCGUGUCCUGCUCCCAGGAGACCCCACAUCUGUGGGUGACUCUUCAGGGCCUGCUGGUCCAACCGAGGCAGCUGGGGUGGCGCACCCUGUCAGGCCUCUUCCUUGAGCUUCCGUCCUCGGUGACCUCUGAGGAAGGUGGAAGGCGGAGGGGGAGCAGGUGGUCUGAGCAGGCAGCUUCCUGGCAGGAAGGGGGGCUGUGGAGGCCCCACCCCCUUUCUGGCACCUUCUGCCCACUCUGCCAGCGAGUCACAUCCCGGAAGGCCGUCCCUGGCCACUGUCUCAUCAUUCCUCAACGCGGACGUGGUCAGGACAAGGUGAUGGAGCCCAGGCAUUCGGACUCUGCUCGGGUGGGACUGGAGCCAGCGCCCGUGAAAGGACCCUCUGACACCGGGAAGGGUUCGGAUGCAGCCGGGCAUUAGCGGAUGGACAGGCUUCUGUUCACUUUGUUAGUGUUUCAACGACAUUGUAGGAUGUAAAAGGAAAACGCCCUUAUCUGUUAGCAAGAAAACGUUUACAGAAAUAGUGAGGCAUCUUGGACGGUGCUAGAAUGCUCGCAAGCACAGCAGAAGGGCGUUUGUGGAGAAAAACAAGACGGUGAAACGACCGGAAUUGAAACUGGGCGAUGGAGGGUGUACCCAAUUCCGCUGCUUUUGGGUCAGUUAGAAAUUCCCACAAUAAGACAUGAAGAAAAAAAUGUACACCACUCUCCCAUGGAGUCCUGGAUCUUGAAAAGGGCUUUAAAGAUAGAAGAACUUUUCAACUUAUCCCAUUUCCCACGGGGGAAACGCUCAAUUUGGGGAGGCCAGGAAGGCGCGGGCCAGGGGGAGCAGGAGGCAGGGCCGCCUGGCUCACCGGAGGCACAGGUGCUCUACCUGCCAUGACCCCGCGGUGACGUACCUGUCAACACUCUGAAGGGCUGGAGCUCAGCUUCCUGCCAGCAGUACAGCAGCAGGGCCAAGAGCGCCAGCAUUCCUCUACUUGCUGCCAUGCUCCCUCCCGCUGAAGGAGGGAGAGGAGGACCUCCUCCUGAAGGCCCCUCUGCUACCCGCCUCUGUCUCCAGGAUACUGUGGAAUGUCAGGGACCUGUGACCUCACGGCAGGAAGUGAGGGUCCUGCCCUCAGUGGGGAGAAUGGUGCCCAGGGUCUCUGACUGGGAAGGCUGGCUAGGGGGAUCCCCUCCACUUGCUCCCAUGGCCCGUUCACGUGCUUUCCUCGUCCUGCAGACCCUGAGGCCUGAAGGGGUAGGACGUUAAUCAGGACUCUGUGGAGUGGCAGAACCCAACAAAAUCUGCUCACAGGAAAAGAGAUGUAUUGGAAGGAGGCUGGAGAGCUCACUGUGUGACACGUAGCCAUCCAGGAAUGACACUACCAUCCACAGUCACCAUCCAGGAGGAAACUACCAUCCACAGUCACCAUCCAGGAAGGAAACUACCAUCCACAGUCACCAUCCAGGAAGGAAACUACCAUCCACAGUCACCAUCCAGGAAGGAAGUUACCAUCCACAGUAAUGAUCCAAGUAGUUAAACAACACCUCUGCAAUCAUCAGCCCCAGUUGGCCUGGACCUGAUCAAUAACUGUCUUUUUUCCUUUUUUUUUUUUUUGUGGUGAAGAAAAUUGGUUCUGAGCUAACAUCUGUUGCCAAUCUUCCUCUUUUUGCUUGAGGAAGAUUUUUGCUAAUCUAACAUCUGUGCCCAUCCUCCUCUACUCUGUAUGCAGCCACAACAUGGCUUGAUGAGUGGUGUGUAAGUCAGCAGAUGGCAUCUGAACCUGUGAAUACCGGGCCACUGAAGUGGAGCACAUGAACCCAACAACUAUGCCCCCAUUUUUGGGCUCGCCCCCAAUUUUCCUGUUUUUGUCUAUACUUCCAACAUAGGACCAACCAGAGAAAGUUGGAGUGCUGGUGGAAGGAAGUUCCAGGCAUUGUCUUGUAAGGGUGUGGGAAGCAAAGUUGGAGGGUUCCACCUGGGCAGGUGUGUUGUAAACAGUCACUUAAAACAACAUCAGUUUAUAAUCUUACCCGUUCUGGAGGCUGGAAGUCCAGAUUGGGUGUCACUGGGCUGAAAUCAAGCUGUCGACAGCGCUCCGUGACUCCUGCAGGCUCUAUAGGAUCUGUUCCCUUGCCUCUUCCAGCCUUUAGAGGCUACCACACUGCUUGGACGGCGGUCUCCUUCCUCCAUCUUCAAAGUCUGUCCUGUCUCUGAUUCUCUCUUCUGCCUCCCUCUGCCACUUCUGUAGGCCCUUGUCACUGCACUGCGCUCUGUGUUGGUUAAUUUUAUAUGUCAGCUUGGCUGGGCCAUGGUGCCCAGAUAUAGGGUCAAAUCUUAUUCUGGAUGUCUCUGUGAGGGUGUUUUUGAUGAGAUUAAUGUUUAAGCUGGUGGACUUUGAGCAAGGCAGAUUGCUCUCCAUAAUGUGGGUGGGCUUCAUACAAUAGGUUGAAGGCCUAAAUAGAAUAAAAAGACUGACUUCUUCCAAGGAAGAGGAACUUCUGCCCCAAGAUGGCCUUCAGACUUGAACUGCAACAUUGGCUCUUCCCUGGGUCUCCAGCCUGCCAGCCCACCGUCCAGAUUUUGCACUUGCCAGCCUCCAUAAUCACAUGAGCCAAUUCCUUAACAUAAACCUCUCUUUCUACGUGUAUACACCACUUACUGUCUCUGUUUCUCUGGAGAACCGUAACUAAUACAGGCCCACGUGAAUAAUCCAGGAUAAUCUGUCCAUCUCAAAUUCAGAUGGUUAGCAAUUUUAAUUCCAUCUGCAGCCUGUUACUCUUUGCCACAGAACUCAAAAUAUUCACAGGGGGGGCCAGCCCUGGGCCGAGUGGUGAAGUUCACACGGUCUGCUUCAGCAGCCCAGGAUCUUGCCGGUUCAGAUCCUGGGCAUAGACAUGGCACCGCUCAUCAAGCCAUGCUGAGGCAGCGUCCCACAUAACAGAACCAGAGGCACUCACAACUAAGAUAUACAAUUAUGUACUGGGGGUCUUUGGAGAGAAGAAGAAGAAAAAAUAAAAAACAAGAUUGGCAACAGAUGUUAACUCAGGUGCCAAUCUUUAAAAAAAAAUAAUAUUCACAGUUUCUGGGGAUUACUGGCCUGGAUACAUGGACAUCUUUUGGACAACAAUGUCUUUUGCCCUUUUUCCAAUUGGAUUGCUUG